GACGAACGCUGGCGGCGUGCUUAACACAUGCAAGUCGAACGGAAAGGCCCUGCUUUUGUGGGGUGCUCGAGUGGCGAACGGGUGAGUAACACGUGAGUAACCUGCCCUUGUCUUUGGGAUAACUUCAGGAAACUGGGGCUAAUACCGGAUAGGAGCUCCUGCUGCAUGGUGGGGGUUGGAAAGUUUCGGCGGUUGGGGAUGGACUCGCGGCUUAUGAGCUUGUUGGUGGGGUAGUGGCUUACCAAGGCUUUGACGGGUAGCCGGCCUGAGAGGGUGACCGGCCACAUUGGGACUGAGAUACGGCCCAGACUGCUACGGGAGGCAGCAGUGGGGAAUAUUGCACAAUGGGCGGAAGCCUGAUGCAGCAACGCCGCGUGCGGGAUGACGGCCUUCGGGUUGUAAACCGCUUUCGCCUGUGACGAAGCGUGAGUGACGGUAAUGGGUAAAGAAGCACCGGCUAACUACGUG
rnacentral:rRNA from 1 species